rnacentral:rRNA from 1 species
CCUACGGGUGGCUGCAGUGGGGAAUAUUGGGCAAUGGGCGAAAGCCUGACCCAGCAACGCCGCGUGAAGGAAGAAGGCUUUCGGGUUGUAAACUUCUUUUGACAGGGAAGAGCAGAAGACGGUACCUGUCGAAUAAGCCACGGCUAACUACGUGCCAGCAGCCGCGGUAAUACGUAGGUGGCAAGCGUUGUCCGGAUUUACUGGGUGUAAAGGGCGUGUAGCCGGGCUGACAAGUCAGAUGUGAAAACUACGGGCUUAACUUGUAGACUGCAGUUGAAACUGGUUUUCUUGAGUGAAGUAGAGGUUGGCGGAAUUCCGAGUGUAGCGGUGAAAUGCGUAGAUAUUCGGAGGAACACCGGUGGCGAAGGCGGCCAACUGGGCUUUAACUGACGCUGAGGCUCGAAAGUGUGGGGAGCAAACAGGAUUAGAUACCCUUGUAGUC